UACAGAGGGGGGCAAGCGUUGUUCGGAAUUACUGGGCGUAAAGGGCGCGUAGGCGGCCUUCUAAGUCGAACGUGAAAUCCCCGGGCUCAACCCGGGAACUGCGUCCGAUACUGGAAGGCUUGAAUCCGGGAGAGGGAUGCGGAAUUCCUGGUGUAGCGGUGAAAUGCGCAGAUAUCAGGAGGAACACCGGUGGCGAAGGCGGUUCUCUGGGCAUGUCCUGACGCUGAGGAGCGAAAGUGUGGGGAGCGAACAGG
rnacentral:rRNA from 1 species